CCCAGUUCGGAUUGUAGUCUGCAACCCGACUACAUGAAGCCGGAAUCGCUAGUAAUCGCGGAUCAGAAUGCCGCGGUGAAUACGUUCCCGGGUCUUGUACACACCGCCCGUCACACCAUGGGAGUCGGAAAUGCCCGAAGCCGGUGACCCAACCCGAAAGGGAGGGAGCCGUCGAAGGCAGGUCGGAUGACUGGGGUGAAGUCGUAACAAGGUAUC
rnacentral:rRNA from 1 species